AGGCRGCAGGCACGCAAAUUACCCACUCCCGGCACGGGGAGGUAGUGACAAAAAAUAACGAUACGGGACUCUUUUGAGGCCCCGUAAUCGGAAUGAGUACACUUUAAAUCCUUUAACAAGGAUCCAUUGGAGGGCAAGUCUGGUGCCAGCAACCGCGGUAAUUCCAGCUCCAAUAGCGUAUAUUAAAGUUGUUGCGGUUAAAAAGCUCGUAGUUGGUUCUGCGUGCUACGCUGCUGGUUCGCCGCCUGUCGGUGUAACUGGCAUGUCGUGGCAUGUCCUGUCGGUGGCGAAAGGGCGGUCUUGUUCUAGGUGACGGCUCGGGUAAAACCGUGUCCGUAGGCCGGAGAUCUAACCCUUUCGCCUACUCUAUCCUACCUAGGUGCUCUUCACCGAGUGUCGAGGUAGGCCGACACGUUUACUUUGAACAAAUUAGAGUGCUCAAAGCAGGCUGAAAUCUCUGCCUGAAUAGUGGUGCAUGGAAUAAUAAAACAGGACCUUGGUUCUAUUUUGUUGGUUCUUAGGAACACAAGGUAAUGAUCAAUACGGACAGGCGGGGGCAUUCGUAUUGCGACGUUAGAGGUGAAAUUCUUGGAUCGUCGCAAGACGCACAAGAGCGAAAGCAUUUGCCAAGUAUGUCUUGAUUGAUCAAGAACGAAAGUUAGAGGUUCGAAGGCGAUCAGAUACCGCCCUAGUUCUAACCAUAAACGAUGCCAGCCAGCGAUCCGCCGAUGUUCCUCCGAUGACUCGGCGGGGAGCUUCUUCCCGGGAAACCAAAGCUUUUGGGUUCCGGGGGAAGUAUGGUUGCAAAGCUGAAACUUAAAGGAAUUGACGGAAGGGCACCACCAGGAGUGGAGCCUGCGGCUUAAUUUGACUCAACACGGGAAACCUCACCAGGCCAGGACAUUGGAAGGAUUGACAGAUUGAUAGCUCUUUCUUGAUUCAGUGGGUAGUGGUGCAUGGCCGUUCUUAGUUGGUG
rnacentral:rRNA from 1 species